rnacentral:lncRNA from 1 species
AUUUUUCACUACUUCAUCCAUCCAUUGACAGCACUCCAAGAAAAAAAAAAUAUAUCAUUUCCAAACCAAAAUCCUUCUCUCUCGCUAGAAAAAUGUCACAAAUCUUUCACUCCUCUCCGCCGCAACUUCACCCGACUACCUCACUGCCUUAGCCUUUGUCUCUCUCUCUCAUCUUGAGUAUGUUGAUUUAUUUCUUAUUUCGCUGUAUUUAUGAUUAUAAUUGCUUAUUGAGUUUGUACAUUUGUUUUCGUCAUUACAUAUUUGGAGGCUUCAGAAAGUUUUUGGUUUAAUUGUUGAUUAUCAGAUUGAUUUCAUUAUGAAAGGUGAACAAUUUGCUAUUGUGAAGCCAUGGCAAUGGUGAGCAUUUCCUAUAGAUUAUUGUAUAAUUUAAUGCGUGAUUUAUUAUUAUUAUUAUUAUUAUUAUUAUUAUUAUUAUUAUUAUUAUUAUUAUUAUUAUUAUUUUGUAAAAUCAUGUAUUUUUCUUCACCUAAGUUUGAAAAGAGUAUUUUAUAUUUAUGAAAAUCUGUAAAUUGAUUUGUGUUUUUUCAGUUGAGUUAAAUCAGAAAUUCCAGUAAUAUUUGAUUGGUUUUUAUGGAAUUCAACAUUGUUAAUUAUAGUUAUUUUGUAAUUUUAAAUAGUUUGUAGAUGUGUUAAGAAGAUCUAUUGGCAAUAUAUAAGAAAAGAUGGAACUAAGUAUUUGAACUUAUGAUGGAUCCUUCAGUUGAAAUUUUAGAUCUUGUAAAUUUGUAAUCUUCAUUAUUCUUCUUAAUUUGGCAGAGGCCUUUUUUAGUAUUUGAUGAGUGCGAUUCACUCAUCAAUUUAGCACCUUUAAAUCUUAGUUUUCGGGUUGUCAUUGAGCACAUUUGAAUGUUUUGAUGCAGGUUUUCAUGUUGUUUUGCAGCUUAGACAACUUUUAAGAAAAUGCCACAUUUUGGAGUUGGGAUGGAGCCAUAAUGAAGAUCAUAAAAUUCGAGUAUGAAGUGAAGGGAAUCGAAGGAAAAGAACAUGGCAACGAAGCGUGGAAAUUGAACAAAGCAAGAAAGAGUAGUUUCAUGGACGCCGUGACGCCAAAAUUGGGCGCUUGGGCGUCCAAGGAAAAAAAAAGUUGGCACUGCAUAAAAAAGGGAACAGCAAGUGGUGCCUUGGUGCUCGACACAAAAAUAGGAAAGUGCAUUUUUCUGGCCCAGAUCCGAUUCUUCUCAUCUUGUAACUUUUGGGAAAGAUAAAUACCACAAAAAAGACCAAGAAAAGGGGGAUUUUUCUGGCAUUGAAAAAAGAACUCAAGGCAAAAACAAGAGAUCAAGCAAUUCAAGGAGGAAGAUUUACAAUCAUUGGGAGAAGAUUCAAAGUAUCAACUAAGUUUUUUCUAAUCUCUUCUUCUCCAUGCUUGUUUAUCUGUAUUUUAGAAUAUCAUUUCCAUCAACCAUGAACUAAAACCUUAGAUCUAGAGUUGAUGUAACCUAACUUGAUACAAUGUUUGGAUAUUGAUAUGGUACUUCUUUAGUUUUCCGGUAUUUAUUUGUGUUAUUCAUGCUUAUUGCUUUCAAUCAUCUGAUCAAUGAUUGAAUGAAUUAAUGUUUUGAAUUUCAGCACUUGAGAGAGGGAGAUUUAAUCUUGAUCUACGAAUAAUAUAACUUAGAUUUCAUGGUUUUCGAGAGAAAGCACGAAUUCUUUGAGGCUUAAUUAAUUUCUAUUGAUAUAAUCUGGAAUAGAGAUAUUGGGAUUAAAGUAUAGAAAUAAAUUCUAUUUGGUACUCGAGAGAGGGAAUGAGAUUAAUUUACGGUUCUUGCCUAUAAAUUGAGGAUAAUUUACAGAAAUAACCAUUGAGAUUGAAAGACAUUGUUGAUAGGGCAGUGAAAUCAUUCCCUAGACUUCCUUGCAUUGAUCAUUUUUAUAUAUUUCAUCUUAAGUUGUUUGAUUUGCCAUCUAAUUUACAACAUAUUAAUUUAGCAUGAACACAUCAAGUCAAAAAUUGAUUUUUCGAAUAAAGUUGAAGUUAAAAUAAUUAUAGUAUUCGAUAGGAAUCAAACAACAAUCCCUGUGGUUCAACAAUUUAAUUCUAUCACUAUAUUACAAAACUUGACACCCUGCACUUGCAGUUAAACCACGUUGUAUAAAAUGCAUGACAGUAUUCUUUAUGGUUUUUUCUGUGCAUUUGGUGUGUAACCUGCAGCUCUCUUUCUGUCUAACAUGGAGAGUGAUAAUCUCGACAAUUGUCUUGCCGGGUCCAGAUGGAAUCCUACAAAGGAGCAAAUGAACAUGCUAGAGAGCUUGUAUAUGCAGGGUUUAAGGACUCCAAGUGUAGAACAAAUUCAGUAGAUUACAAAUGGGCUGAGGGCUUUUGGCCAAAUUCAGCUUAUAUAUGGUUCAUUUCUUGAAGUUCAUUUUUCUACACCUUUGUAGCAAAACAUUUUGACAGUAAUUGCUCGAAUCUAGUAAUAUAUAAUAUUCCUAAUAAAUUUGAAGUCGACUACCUGUGAACUUUUCUAUUCAGUACUAUUCUUUGCUAGAUAUGCUAGAUUAUCACAUUUUUUGUGUGUAAGGCAGAUUUCUUCUACCCUGUAUGUGUGUCUGGAUUAUUUUGUCAUAGAUAAAGACUUCGCAAGCUUAUAUUUGGCUUUAUCUUCAUUGAGCCACUCGUUAGACGGGGACACUCUGUUCCCAUGGUGGUCUUAGUCUCUUUAUCCAAUGUAUGUAAUGUACACCAGAAGUAAGAAAGCAAGAGAAGUCAUCACAGUGCAGAUUAUUAUAUUUCAUGCAUGAAUGACUAUUUAACAUUGGAAGUUUGAAAGUCAUGUGAAGGUACUGCACUUCCAAAAAUCUAGGCAAAUUAUUAAUUUAGAUUAGUGUGUUGAUUUUGUGCUUUAAAUUUUGUUGGUAUUCUAAUGGAUAAGACAAUUAUUUUACUGAUAAAUAAAUGGAGGAACAUAAUUUGUUCCUUUAUUAGUAUCCUCCUUCUUAUUGGUGUGUAGUUAUAAGCAAAGAAAAACUGUAUUAUCAGCAUUCUAAUAAUGGGGUCUAGCUAAGCUUAAAAAUAAACAAGUUUUUUGUUGGUAAAAGUCGGAAUAAGUAACUUAUUUUCGCAAAUAAAAAGUAAUUUAUCCAAUCAUAUUUGGAACUCGUGAUUGAAAAACAACACUGACAUGAAUUUCUUCUACAGGUGACAAUACAAAAGAUGAGAUCAAAUCUGGAAGAGAAGUUAAUGAAGAGGAUGGCAGUUGAUCAUUGAAAAGCCGAAGAAUGGAGAGCCACAGCUCAGCUUCAGCACUCGGAACAAAUUUAAGACUCUGAAUAAUCGCGCAAGAUGAUGAACCAAAAUACAGUGCAUUUCUUAUGUCACAAAUCUUGUGUUUGCUUCCCUUGCAAUAGCCAUCACUUAUGAAUUCAUUCACCCCAGCAAUCAGAAAUUUCAACAUCCAGAUUGUGAUAAUUAAAAGGCUAUCAUCUUAAAAAAAUAAAAAAAAUCAUGUAGAGAGAGUUGAGUUCUUGAAAAUAGAAAUGUGAUAAUUUGCUAAUUAACAUGUAAUGGGAUAUUACGACACUUCUUUGCGUUGAUGAUGGCAAUUUCUUCGUGUCACUUGAUUAUUUUCUUAAAAUUUCUUAAAAAAAGACUGCAAGUGCGGUGAACCAAGAGAAACUAGUACCUGAGGAUGUAAGUUUUGGGUUGUUGUCGAAGAGACUAGAGGGAGGAUAUUGCAGGGGUGAAACUGGCUUUAUUUUGGAUAGAGUACCUCGUACGAGAAUUCAGGCUGUAAGUAGUGAUGCUGUCCUCUCCUUUUGGAUGGUUUAUCAAGACUCACAAGUCUCUUUAGAUGGAAUAUAUUGAAUUGAAGUAUCUCUUUCAUGCUUUUGACAUGUAAGAUAAUGCAAUUUUACUCUUAGCAUGUUAUCCAAGUUUCGAUUGAAUUGCGAUUUGUUUUUAGUCUGCAUCUAGUGUUAUAAGAGUAGGAAAAAUACUCACAAACAUUCUCAAGAAGAACUUUGAUGUAUGUGACUGCUAUGGUCCUUGCAGGAAAUCAUGGACUGAAUUACUGAUAUAGAAUUGGUGCUGAACUUUAACAGAGUAUAUUCUUGCUCCUUUUCCUCAUUUUCUUCCAUUUUUUCUAUCACUUUGUGCAGUUACACGGUUGAGGCAGACAACCCCCUGUAUGGCACUUGAUUGGUAUGUAAGCAUUGAGAUUUUAGUUAAUCUAGUUUUAUUUUUUUACUUGAAUAAUGAACUCUUUGUAAAGAAUCUAUACUUUUUUCAUAUUCUCUUCGCUAUUUCUUUUUGUCCAUUUAUUUUAGUAGGGCUACAUUGAGCAAUGGAUUUACUUUUCCACUUCUGAGAUUGAUGUUAAUUUAGUUUUAUUUUUUUACUUGCAUAAUGAACUCUUUGUAAAGAAUUUUCUUCGAUUUAUUGAAAUGAUAUGUUU